rnacentral:rRNA from 1 species
ACGAACGCUGGCGGCGUGCUUAACACCUGCAAGUCGAACGGAAAGGCCCUGCUUUUGUGGGGUGCUCGAGUGGCGAACGGGUGAGUAACACGUGAGUAACCUGCCCUUGACUUUGGAAUAACUUCAGGAAACUGGGGCUAAUACCGGAUAGGAGCUCCUGCUGCAUGGUGGGGGUUGGAAAGUUUCGGCGGUUGGGGAUGGACUCGCGGCUUAUCAGCUUGUUGGUGGGGUAGUGGCUUACCAAGGCUUUGACGGGUAGCCGGCCUGAGAGGGUGACCGGCCACAUUGGGACUGAGAUACGGCCCAGACUCCUACGGGAGGCAGCAGUGGGGAAUAUUGCACAAUGGGCGGAAGCCUGAUGCAGCAACGCCGCGUGCGGGAUGACGGCCUUCGGGUUGUAAACCGCUUUCGCCUGUGACGAAGCGUGAGUGACGGUAAUGGGUAAAGAAGCACCGGCUAACUACGUG